CGGGGGGGCGAAGCGUUGUUCGGAAUUACUGGGCGUAAAGGGCUCGUAGGCGGCCAACUAAGUCAGACGUGAAAUCCCCACGGCUCAACCUGGGAACUGCGUCUGAUACUGGUUGGCUUGAAUCCGGGAGAGGGAUGCAGAAUUCCAGGUGUAGCGGUGAAAUGCGUAGAUAUCUGGAGGAAUACCGGUGGCGAAGGCGGCAUCCUGGACCGGCAUUGACGCUGAUGAGCGAAAGCCAGGGGAGCAAACGGGAUUAGAUACCCCGGUAGUCCUGGCCCUAAACGAUGAAUGCUUGGUGUAACGGGUAUCGAUCCCUGUUGUGCCGAAGCUAACGCAUUAAGCAUUCCGCCUGGGGAGUACGGUCGCAAGGCUG
rnacentral:rRNA from 1 species